GUCAUCCCCAAACAGGCAAUACAUUUACUAAAUUUUAAACAAUACAGAGAAAAUCAUGUGCUCCGUGUGAGGAUGACAUGAAAAUUUGUGAAAUAUUUUUUAUGUGU
ensembl:snRNA U6 U6 spliceosomal RNA